rnacentral:rRNA from 1 species
AGCGAACGCUGGCGGCAGGCCUAACACAUGCAAGUCGAACGAAGUCUUCGGACUUAGUGGCGGACGGGUGAGUAACACGUGGGAACGUGCCUUUAGGUUCGGAGUAACUCAGGGAAACUUGUGCUAAUACCGAAUGUGCCCUUCGGGGGAAAGAUUUAUCGCCUUUAGAGCGGCCCGCGUCUGAUUAGCUAGUUGGUGAGGUAAAGGCUCACCAAGGCGACGAUCAGUAGCUGGUCUGAGAGGAUGAUCUGCCACAUUGGGACUGAGACACGGCCCAAACUCCUACGGGAGGCAGCAGUGGGGAAUCUUGCGCAAUGGGCGAAAGCCUGACGCAGCCAUGCCGCGUGAAUGAUGAAGGUCUUAGGAUUGUAAAAUUCUUUUACCAGGGACGAUAAUGACGGUACCUGGAGAAAAAGCCCCGGCUAACUUCGUGCCAGCCGCCGCCGUAACAC